rnacentral:misc_RNA from 1 species
AAAAGGAUACAAUCGAAUGCCUUGGGAACUAAAAGUAUAAUCCACUUAUGUUUUCAUAAAACUACUACACUAAAUACAAUCAUGUUCCAGCGGCUAACUGAUGAAUUAACACUCACCACCAAGAGUAUUAUUACAUUCGGGAAAUUAACAAUGGGGCCGAUAACGGAGCUUCGUCAACCAUGAUCGCCUGCAGCAAGUCCAGGUCCCCAUAGCGCUCUAGAAAACGCAUCCUGCAGUCUUCGGCAGCCAUCAGACCUGUCGAGUAUGCGCCGUGCACAGAUCCGGGGUAGUUGAUGCUCG